rnacentral:rRNA from 1 species
UGGGGAAUAUUGCACAAUGGGCGCAAGCCUGAUGCAGCCAUGCCGCGUGUGUGAAGAAGGCCUUCGGGUUGUAAAGCACUUUCAGCGGGGAGGAAGGCGUUAAGGUUAAUAACCUUGGCGAUUGACGUUACCCGCAGAAGAAGCACCGGCUAACUCCGUGCCAGCAGCCGCGGUAAUACGGAGGGUGCAAGCGUUAAUCGGAAUUACUGGGCGUAAAGCGCACGCAGGCGGUCUGUCAAGUCGGAUGUGAAAUCCCCGGGCUCAACCUGGGAACUGCAUCUGAUACUGGUCAGCUAGAGUCUUGUAGAGGGGGGUAGAAUUCCAUGUGUAGCGGUGAAAUGCGUAGAGAUGUGGAGGAAUACCGGUGGCGAAGGCGGCCCCCUGGACAAAGACUGACGCUCAGGUGCGAAAGCGUGGGGAGCAAACAGG